AUUGAACGCUGGCGGCAGGCCUAACACAUGCAAGUCGAACGAGUGGCGGACGGGUGAGUAAUGUCUGGGAAACUGCCUGAUGGAGGGGGAUAACUCCUGGAACCGGUAGCUAAAACCGCAUACCCUCAGAUGUGCCCACAUGGGAUUAGCUUGUUGGGGGGGUAACGGCGCAACAAGGCGACGAUCCCUAGCUGGUCUGAGAGGAUGACCAGCCACACUGGAACUGAGACACGGUCCAGACUCCUACGGGAGGCAGCAGUGGGGAAUAUUGCGCAAUGGGCGCAAGCCUGAUGCAGCCAUGCCGCGUGUAUGAAGAAGGCCUUCGGGUUGUAAAGUACUUUCAGCGGGGAGGCGUUACCCGCAGAAGAAGCACCGGCUAACUCCGUGCCAGCAGCCGCGGUAAUUC
rnacentral:rRNA from 1 species